AAUUUCCCGGAUGCAGGAAGAGCGGCCUGGCUGUUUCCUUUCAGGCUUACCUCAGGGGAGCAGCUUCAUUCAUUUCAGUCCCUCUAUGUGGAUCAGACUAUCUGCAGACAACAGGGAGCCAUCACCUCGACUCCAGGAGACUGUGGCACUGUCAAACAAUCAAGGAAGCCAGUGCCUGGCUCCUACAGACUCCCCGAACCCAGAGGGGCCACAAGUGUGAUGUAUACAACCCCAGUCUGUUGCCACUCUGGGAAGGUCCAUGGUUUGCUGAACCUCUACCUGGAGUGAGGCUUCCUCGGACCACCCUCCAGCUCUCAGCCUGACUCUGAAGGGACUCAGGCCCUCUGCACACUAGGGGCCACAGUCCAUGUAUGAAGAGGUGUCCACAUGACUUCUGGAAAGGCCCAGGCCCUUCCUUUUUCACACAACUCAAGUGGAGAUCUUAGAUGAGUGCUUUCCUUCUCUCAUCCGACGAGGCCCAGUUCAGUGACUGUAACAUCUGAAAACCUGCCCAGAGCCAUUGUGGCCUGACAGCUGUAGAACAGGCUGUUCUGAGGUAUCCUGUGUGUUCUCAAAUUGCCUCCACCUUAGCUCCAGUUAAGAUAUAGACCCUAUGCUCUAUGAACUUUAGUCUUCAUGGUCAAGACCCUCCCUCCCAGCACUCUCUUUCUGCUGAACUGGAAGAGUGCCUCAUUCCUACUGGGCUGUGCC